rnacentral:lncRNA from 1 species
UUUAUAUAGCGCCUAUCUAAUAAACAUAAUACUCUAAGCGCUUAACAUAUAAAAUUGAAGGAAAAUAUAUAUCACAAUGCAUUUGCCAACUGUCUUCACUCUUUUUAUGAAAGUGAGACAAUUGCCAUACUAAAAGUUUCAUUAGAAAUAUGAAUAAAAGGAAAUACAAAGUAUCAUAAUGUGGUUAAUACGUAAAUGAGACCGAAGCCCCCUUCCCCCCACAAUAAUAAAAGAAAUUACUGCAAAUAUUCUGGGACUAUAGUCCCAGAAAUUUUAGACCUUUCAGAAGACCAGCC